AAAAUGCGAAACGUUGCUGAAAUUAAAUAAGUAAACUAAAGAUUUCCCAAUCGUAGACAGCCUGUUAAUCACAAGAUCCCAAAAUCACAAGACAUUGAUCACGAGACAGAAAAUGACAACACCGUUGCGCAAUACAUAUAUAAUAACCGUGCGGUGGUUCACCUGGUACUCAACUGUCUGGCUGUAUUUUAAAGGUACGCCGCUUUUACGCAAAACUAUUCAUUUUUACUGAAGCUAAGCGUAGAGUGACGAUUUUUGAGUAAAGAGAAUUUGUCUAUGUAUUAUAUCUGAUAGUUCAACAAAAAUCUCUUGCAAUUUGGUUAGGAUAUUUAGCGAAUUUUUCACUUCAUCUUUAAAGAGCUGAAUUCACAUGUAAACAGAUGUUAUAACACUGCUCGCUGGAAAAAUUGAUUUGAAUUGUUUAAAGAGGGAAAAAGGAAAUCACGUUUAUUAGUUGGUGGCUAACUAUAUCUUAACAUACACUUGUAAUUAGGUGUAGGCCUACACUGCUUGUCUGCAAAACUGGCUAGAACGAUUCAAUAACUCAAGGGUAUUAAAACAUGCAGUGCUUUAAGUUUAAACCACUUAAAAUGUGCUUUUUCACAGCAUAAUACCUGUAUUACACAGCCAGCUUUUAAACUGAUACUCUUUCCUAUGCAUUUUAUCCAUGUUUUAGCGACUGUCAUUUUGCUGUUGAUUUUCUUCUCUUCGUGGUUCAUUCAUUUGACCUUCGCAAUCAUAUUCGAAAGGAAAAUAAAUAUUGUGAUAGUAUAUAGUUAAACACUUUCGCCCCUUUAGAUUAAACAUUUUUCUCAAAAAACUGUUUUCUUUAUAAUCUAGAAAACGUAGAUAUAUAUUUAUUACAUCACAGAAAAACUUAAGUUCAGCAAUCUCGUAACCAGGUCUCACAGUUUAACACUAAAACAGAAUUUUUUACAAAAAUAGUGGAAAUAGAAUUAAAAAACAUAAA